rnacentral:miRNA from 1 species
GAUAGAUAGAUAAUCUAUCUAUCUGUCUGUCUGUCUAUCUAUCUAUCAAUCCAUCUAUUUAUUUGAUAGAUGAUAGAUAGAUAGAUAGAUAGAUAGACAGAUAGAUGAUAGAUAGAUAGAUAGAUAGACGGAUAGAUAGAUAGAUAGAUAGA